rnacentral:rRNA from 1 species
AGAGUUUGAUCAUGGCUCAGAACUAACGCUGGCGGCGUGCCUAACACAUGCAAGUCGGACGAGAAAGUUGGCUUCGGCCGAUGAGUAAAGUGGCGCACGGGUGAGUAACGCGUGGAUAAUCUGCCCUUUAGUGUGGAAUAACGUACCGAAAGGUGCGCUAAUACCGCAUAAUACUGAAUGACUACUGUUGUUCAGUCAAUGAAGGCUUCUGUUUACAUGCUUUUGCUGAAGGAUGAGUCCGCGUACCAUUAGCUAGUUGGUAGGGUAAUGGCCUACCAAGGCGACGAUGGUUAGCUGGUCUGAGAGGAUGAUCAGCCACACUGGAACUGAGAUACGGUCCAGACUCCUACGGGAGGCAGCAGUGAGGAAUAUUGCGCAAUGGGGGCAACCCUGACGCAGCAACGCCGCGUGAGUGAGGAAGGUUUUCGGACCGUAAAGCUCUGUCGAGCGGGAAGAAGUGCAUGGUGGCUAAUAUCCAUCAUGCUUGACGGUACCGCUAAAGGAAGCACCGGUUAACUCCGUGCCAGCAGUCGCGGUAAUACGGGGGGUGCAAGCGUUGUUCGGAAUUAUUGGGCGUAAAGAGCGUGUAGGCGGCUGGAUAAGUCAGAUGUGAAAUCCCUGGGCUUAACCCAGGACGUGCAUUUGAAACUAUCCAGCUUGAGUAAGGGAGAGGAAAGUGGAAUUCCUGGUGUAGAGGUGAAAUUCGUAGAUAUCACGAGGAACACCGGUGGCGAAAGCGACUUUCUGGCCCUAUACUGACGCUGAGACGCGAGAGCGUGGGUAGCAAACAGGAUUAGAUACCCUGGUAGUCCACGCUGUAAACGAUGUUCACUAGGUGUUGGGGGUAUUGACCCUCUCAGUGCCGCAGCUAAUGCAUUAAGUGAACCGCCUGGGGAGUACGGUCGCAAGAUUAAAACUCAAAGGAAUUGACGG